rnacentral:rRNA from 1 species
GAUCAUGGCUCAGGAUGAACGCUAGCGGCAGGCCUAACACAUGCAAGUCGAGGGGUAGAACACUUCGGUGUUUGAGACCGGCGCACGGGUGCGUAACGCGUAUGCAAUCUACCUUGUACAGGGGAAUAGCCCAGAGAAAUUUGGAUUAAUGCCCCAUAGUGUUAUCGAAUCGCAUGGUUUGAUAACUAAAGUUCCAACGGUAUAAGAUGAGCAUGCGUCCCAUUAGUUAGUUGGUAAGGUAACGGCUUACCAAGACAAUGAUGGGUAGGGGUCCUGAGAGGGAGAUCCCCCACACUGGUACUGAGACACGGACCAGACUCCUACGGGAGGCAGCAGUGAGGAAUAUUGGUCAAUGGGCGCAAGCCUGAACCAGCCAUGCCGCGUGCAGGAAGAAGCAUCUAUGGUGUGUAAACUGCUUUUAUACAGGAAGAAACAACUCUACGUGUAGAGUCUUGACGGUACUGUAAGAAUAAGGACCGGCUAACUCCGUG